GGGCUCAUCCACUUGCAGAGCCUGGCCUGACUUCAUUGGCUGUGACAGAUGCUUCUCUCUCCCAUCUCCCAAGGGCCCUGAGAAACUUCCGUAGUUCUGAUGGGUUUUCCUAAUGCCACCUGCUUCGGCAAACAGCCUGGGGCCCAUCGGGAGGAAAGAAAGGCCCUGUCUUCUCAGUCAGUCCUGAGAAACUACGAACCCAAAAGGUGUUGACCCCAAGCAGCCCACUUGGAGCUGCGGGAGCUGGCUGUCACUCCCCACCACACUGUUACAUCCUCUGAUGAAAACACCUCCCUUCUCGGUCUUCUGACUCCAUCCAAGAAGCUGUCACCCAUGACUUGCUUCGAAACCCUAGCUCUGCCGCUUACCAGGAACCUCACCUGGGCCCCACAGCCAGGAAGAGGCUCCAGGCCUUGGGGCAAUUCUGACAGCCCUGGGUUGGGUCACCUGAUGGCCACUCCUGCAAAGGCUUCUGGGAACUAACCACUGGACUCUGAAGACCAGACAACUUCUCUGCAUGGUGGCCACUGCCUGCUGGUGUGAAGCUGCUGAGACCUCAGAGCCUGAGGGCAGGGCAGGCUGGUGGGCCUGCCAGCUGCCCCUUCCUCCCCUCUCCCCGAGCCCCAUAUUCUCCCCUGGGACCUGGAGUGGGGAAACUGAGGCUUUUCCAUACUCUUCCCCAGGGGGAAUAGCACGCAGCU